rnacentral:rRNA from 1 species
GUCGAGAAUCUUUCACAAUGGGGGCAACCCUGAUGGAGCGACGCCGCGUGGAGGAUAAGGUCUUCGGAUUGUAAACUCCUGUCAUGCGUGAACAAGGUUGCUUGGUUAAUACCUGGGCAAAUUGAUGGUAACGCAAGAGGAAGAGACGGCUAACUCUGUGCCAGCAGCCGCGGUAAUACAGAGGUCUCAAGCGUUGUUCGGAAUCACUGGGCGUAAAGGGUGCGUAGGUGGCGUGGUAAGUCAGAUGUGAAAGCCCGGGGCUCAACCUCGGAACUGCAUCCGAUACGGCCAUGCUAGAGUACUGGAGAGGUGACUAGAAUUCUCGGUGUAGCAGUGAAAUGCGUAGAUAUCGAGAGGAAUACCAAAGGCGUAGGCAGGUCACUGGACAGUUACUGACACUGAGGCACGAAGGCCAGGGGAGCGAACGGGAUUAGAUACCCCGGUAGUCC